rnacentral:rRNA from 1 species
GACGAACGCUGGCGGCGUGCCUAAUACAUGCAAGUCGAGCGGACAGAUGGGAGCUUGCUCCCUGAUGUUAGCGGCGGACGGGUGAGUAACACGUGGGUAACCUGCCUGUAAGACUGGGAUAACUCCGGGAAACCGGGGCUAAUACCGGAUGGUUGUUUGAACCGCAUGGUUCAAACAUAAAAGGUGGCUUCGGCUACCACUUACAGAUGGACCCGCGGCGCAUUAGCUAGUUGGUGAGGUAACGGCUCACCAAGGCAACGAUGCGUAGCCGACCUGAGAGGGUGAUCGGCCACACUGGGACUGAGACACGGCCCAGACUCCUACGGGAGGCAGCAGUAGGGAAUCUUCCGCAAUGGGCGAAAGCCUGACGGAGCAACGCCGCGUGAGUGAUGAAGGUUUUCGGAUCGUAAAGCUCUGUUGUUAGGGAAGAACAAGUACCGUUCG